rnacentral:rRNA from 1 species
GCGCACCAGGCGAGAAACCUCCGCAAUACACGAAAGUGCGACGGGGCCAUCCCGAGUGCCGUCCGCUGAGGACGGCUUUUCCCCAGUGUACACAGCUGGGGGAAUAAGGAGAGGGCAAGCCUGGUGUCAGCCGCCGCGGUAAUACCAGCUCUCCGAGUGGUGGGGACGCUUAUUGGGCCUAAAGCAUCCGUAGCCGGCUGGGCAAGUCCUCCGUUAAAUCCAACGAUUCAAUCGUUGGGCUGCGGGGGAUACUGUCCAGCUUGGGGGCGGGAGAGGCCGACGGUAUUCCCGGGGUAGGGGUGAAAUCCUAUAAUCCCGGGAGGACCACCAGUGGCGAAGGCUGUCGGCUAGAACGCGCCCCGACGGUGACGGGGAUGAAAGCUGGGGGGAGCGAACCGGAUUAGAUACCCGGU